GAGAAAGACACACACAGCACACGGGGGAUGCCUCGGGUGCGGAAGGGCGAAGAAGGUCGUGGCACGCCACGAAAGGCCUCGGGGAGCCGCGUCGCAGGCAACGAUCCGAGGGUGACCGAAUGGGGAAACCCCGCGGCCGACCGGCCGCGAUGGCCGUCCAGCGGGACGGACCAGGCAAAACCGGGGAACUGAAACAUCUCAGUACCCGGAUCGGAAAAGCAAACGCGAACUCCGCAGUAGCGGCGAGCGACCCGGAGUGAGUCCAAACGUCGCAGGUCAUCCCACGGCUGGAGGCCGGACCUGCGGCGGGUUGUGGCGGCGUUGCGGGAGUCCUCCAGACGAUCCCGCGUACGCCGGGAGACGAGGGUGAAGCGGUUGGAAUGCCGCGCCCUAGAGGGUGAAAGCCCCGUCGCUUUGGUCUCCCGGCGGCGUGCAACGCCGCCCGAGUACCACGCGGCACGAGAACCCGCGUGGGAAGCAGGGUGGCCCACCAUCCAAGACUGCCGACCUUCCGUCACCGAUAGCGCACAGUACCGUGAGGGAACGGUGAAAAGCCCCCCGGAAGGGGAGUGAAAGAGACCCUGAAACCGUGUGCUGACAACCCGUCAGAGCCCCCAUUGCGGGGUGAUGGCGUGCCUAUUGAAGAAUGAACCGGCGAGUGACCGGUCCGCGCAAGGUUAACCGCCGUAAGGCGGGCAGCCGGAGCGUAAGCGAGUCCGAAGAGGGCGCGAGUGCGGAUCGAUCGACCCGAAACCGCGUGAUCUAGCCGGCGCCAGGCUGAAGUCCCCUUAAGCCGGGAUGGAGGGCCGCACCCGUGUCCGUUGAAAAGGGCUGGGAGGAGCGGCGGCUAGGGGUGAAAUGCCAAUCGAACGCGGAGAUAGCUGGUUCUCCCCGAAAUCGCUUGAGGGCGAGCCUCUCAGAUACACCCCGACCGGGGUAGCGCUCUGUGAAUGGAAGGGGUCCCGCCGGGAUUACUGCCUGUUCGCAAACGACAAAGUCGGUCGGGGGGCUCGAGGGAGUCAGACGCCGGGGGAUAAGCUCCGGGGUCAAAAGGGCAACAGCCCAGAUCGUCCGUUAAGGUCCCUAAAUGCACGCUGAGUGGAGAAGGUCGUCGCAGGGCCCAGACAGCCAGGAGGUUGGCUUAGAAGCAGCCAUCCUUGAAAGAGUGCGUAAUAGCUCACUGGUCGCAGUCCCGCGGCGCCGACAAUGUUCGGGGCUAAGCGUGCUACCGAAACGGCGACUGGCCCGCCGCGCGGCGGGCCGGGGUAGGGGAGCGUCCGGUGGCGGGCGAAGCCGGCGUGGAAACGGCGGUGGACGCCACUGGAGUGCGAAUGCCGGUAUGAGUAGCGAAAAGGGAUGUGCGAAUCAUCCCCGCCGAAAGCCGCAGGGUUCCGGAGCCAGGAUCGUCCGCUCCGGGUUAGUCGGGCCUAAGGCGAGGCCGUUGAGGCGUAGUCGAUGGAGACACGGUCGAGAUUCCGUGACCAGCCGUCGGCGGUGAGUGUCGCGGGACAGGGGUCCGGCGGGAAGCGUCCCGUUGGUCGUGGACGUCGCUCCGCAAGGGGCGGGACGGCGCGGUGCGAGCUGCGCCGACAGUCGACGCGGGGCCCCUCAAGAAAAGCGCGGCAGGAGCCGGCGGUUGUCCGUACCCGAAACCGACACAGGUAGGCGAGGCGAGGAGCCUCAGGCGCGCGAGUGAUCUCUCGUUAAGGAACUCGGCAAAAUACCCCCGUACCUUCGGAAGAAGGGGGCCCGGCUGCGUCCGCAGCCGGGGGCACCACAGCGGCCCAAGCGACUGUUUACCAAAAACACAGGUCCCUGCGAAGUCGUAAGACGCCGUAUAGGGGCUGACGCCUGCCCGGUGCUGGAAGGUUAAGGGGCGGGGUGCAAGCUCCAAACCGAAGCCCCAGUCAACGGCGGCCGUAACUAUAACGGUCCUAAGGUAGCGAAAUUCCUUGUCGGGUAAGUUCCGACCCGCACGAAAGGCGUAACGACUUGGGUACUGUCUCAACGAGAGGCUCGGUGAAAUUGCAAGCCCUGUGAAGAUGCAGGGUACUGGCGACUGGACAGAAAGACCCCGUGGAGCUUGACUGUAGCCUGCUAUGGGUCGGUUGGGGCGCGUGUACAGGAUAGGUGGGAGGCGGAGAAGCCGCCGCGUCAGCGGCGGGGGAGCCAUCCUUGGGAUACCACCCUCGCGCCCGGACCGGUCUAACCGUCGACGCAACCCGUCGCGGGACAGUGGCAGGGGGGCAGUUUGACUGGGGCGGUCGCCUCCUAAAGGGUAACGGAGGCGCCCCAUGGUUCCCUCAGCACGGUUGGACAUCGUGCCGGGCGUGCAAAGGCACAAGGGAGCUUGACUGCAAGCGGGACACCGCGCGCAGGGCCGAAAGGCGGGCUUAGUGAUCCGGUGGCUCCGAGUGGCAGGGCCAUCGCGCAACGGACAAAAGCUACCCCGGGGAUAACAGGCUGAUCUUCCCCAAGAGUCCAUAUCGACGGGAAGGUUUGGCACCUCGAUGUCGGCUCAUCGCAUCCUGGGGCUGGAGUCGGUCCCAAGGGUUGGGCUGUUCGCCCAUUAAAGCGGUACGUGAGCUGGGUUCAGAACGUCGUGAGACAGUUCGGUCCCUAUCCGUCGUCAGCGAAGGAUACUUGCGGGGGGCUGCUCCUAGUACGAGAGGACCGGAGUGGACGAACCGCUGGUGUGCCCAGUUGUGUGGCCGCAUGCACCGCUGGGAAGCUAGGUUCGGGAGGGAGAAGCGCUGACCGCAUCUAAGCGCGAAACCCGCCCCAAGAUGAGGUAUCCGUCCGGACGCGUCGCGUCCGGCCCCGACCCCCGGAAGAUGACCGGGUGGAUAGGCGGACCGUGGACGCCCGGUAACGGGUGGAGCGAGUCCGUACUAAUCGGUCGGGACGUCUUUCUCCU
rfam:Sulfobacillus acidophilus TPY, complete genome.